UUCAGUUGGCAUGAAAUGUCUACCCUAAUUUAAGGUGGCAGCACAUCGCAUCUUCCCUAAGCAUGGACUAUCUUAUUUUUACUUCAACGAUCAUGAAGAACAGUUGUACGAACAUCAUACUUAAAAUCACAGAAAUUAAAUAUGAUUCAAAAGAAGAUAUUCAUUAAAAACAAUAAGUCCAUACAACUCCAAGAAUAUAAAAUAAAAUAUAAAAUCCGUCUUCUUUUGUUAGGGCUGCAUCCAGCCUUAGAGAGGAGAUCAACCUUCCAUGCAGUGGUGGAUGGCAGCAGCAGCACAGCAACAGGCUUCCAUCACGAUCGGCUUCCUCUGCCUCAGUCUUUCAUUUUUUUUUCUUUCUUUUGAGAAGGCAUUCCCAAAAAGACCCAAACUCUUCUCUCUCCUUUUAUUUUUUUCUUCUUCCCGUGGGAGCUUGUGGGAUUCCGCCUCUGAGAAAAUCUUGAUGGGGAUCAGUCCCCGGUGGGGAAGAGGGAAUGCCCCCCCCGGUGGUGAAAGAGGAAUGCCCACUCUGAUCAGAAGUCCUCCCUUAUAUAGGCAGCCCAUCUCUCUCUCUUGCUUGUAGCUGCUCCGAAUGGGUGGAUAAGGCAUGAGUUGAUCCGGUCGUUUGAAAGAGGCUGAGCUGGGAGAUGAAGCUCGAUCAAAUGAUUCGGGAGGAUGAGGAUGAAUAUGGAGACGUGGGAUUUUGGAUUCUGAACGGGAUCUGGGACGGCUGGGAGCUGAUCCGGAAGGGCCUUGAAUCGCGGACGACUUCUAGUUUGUAGGGAAGAUGGGUUGCUCUGUUUUGAGGUUGGGAAGCUAGAUCAAUGCAUGGGUCUAAUCAGCACGCGGCUGGGAAUGGGAUAAGGACGAUUACUAACGGGAUGAAGGCUGAGAAGAAAUGAGAUGAGCCGUUGCUGCUGAUCCGCGGAUGCUUUGGGCUUGGUUGGGAAUGAACACUGGAAACAGGGGAUAAGCUUGGAUUCGGCUGGCAGUUUAGAUGAAGCUUGCUUGGAAGCUUGGGAACGACUGGCCAUGGGAUAAGGAUGUGAUCCAUUCUAGAGUUAAUCCGAAUGGGAUAUGAGGAAGAAAUUUGGGAUUAAUCCGGCAGAAGGUUGGCUUGAUUUGCGAACGGGAUGAGGAUGCAGGGGAUUCGGAGAAGAAAAUGAUGAGCUGGGAGAUGAGUGGAUCAUGGACGAUAACGGGGAACGGAUGCCCGGUAGAAUCGCGGAAUGGCUUGCGGAUGAGGUUGAUCCGGAAUAGGGGAGUUGAUUCAUAGAUGAGGAAGCGAAUCAGAUACGAAUGACUUUGAGUUUGAUUUUCGGUUGGCUGGGAUCAAUCCUGAAUGCUGGGCUGGUUCGGGUGAAGUGGAUGAUGAACGGAAUGAAGAGGAUGGAUUUUUGAAACGGGGGAGAUUCUAUUUGUGGACGUGAUCCGUGGAGGUUUUUGGAAAUGAAGAUACGGAAGGGAAGAAGUUGGAUGUGCUGGGUUUUUAGAGUUUAUCCGUGGGAGAUGAUUGGGAUGUAAGAAUACGCUCGAGAUGCUCAUCCGGCUCUGAUGAAGAUGGGGAUGCUAUUCCGAAAGAUGAGAUUCCGCUGGGAUUUUGUGGAAGUCUUUGGAUGGAAGACACGUACGGUGCUUGGAUGCGAAACAGGGGUUAUGUUUGGGUGUGGGAAGAUGUUGGGAACGAGCUUUAUUUUGAGUGACCCAAUUCUAUUCGUGGACUCGAACGACAUGCAUACAAGCUGAGGAUUGAUCCACGAGUGUGACGUGGGAGGAAAGGAAAUUGGAACAUGGA
rnacentral:lncRNA from 1 species